UGGAACGCUGGCGGCAGGCCUAACUCAUGCAACUCCAANGGUAACAGGAAACAGCUCGCUGUUUCGCUGACGAGUGGCGGACGGGUGAGUAAUGUCUGGGAAACUGCCUGAUGGAGGGGGAAAGCUACUGGGAACGGUACCUAAUACCGCAUAACGUCGCAAGACCAAAGAGGGGGACCUUCGGGCCUCUUGCCACCAGAUGUGCCCAGAUGGGAUUAGCUACUAGGUGGGGUAACGGCUCACCUAGGCGACGAUCCCUAGCUGGUCUGAGAGGAUGACCAGCCACUCUGGAACUGAGACACGGUCCAGACUCCUA
rnacentral:rRNA from 1 species